GGAGGGUCCAAGCGUUGUCCGGAUUUAUUGGGUGUAAAGGGUGUGUAGGCGGGCUUGUAAGUCAGAGGUGAAAUCCUACGGCUCAACCGUAGAACUGCCUUUGAAACUGCAGGUCUUGAGUCCUGGAGAGGUUGUUAGAAUUCGUGGUGUAGCGGUGAAAUGCGUAGAUAUCACGAGGAAUACCGGUUACGAAGGUUGACAACUGGACAGGUACUGACGCUGAGGCACGAAAGCGUGGGGAGCAAACUGGAUUAGAUACCCUGGUAGUCCACGCCGUAAACGAUGAUCACUCGGUGUCGCGGAGCAAUCUGCGGUGCCUAAGCUAACGCAUUAAGUGAUCCACCUGGGGAUACGAUCGCAAGGUUG
rnacentral:rRNA from 1 species